rnacentral:rRNA from 1 species
GAGUUUGAUCCUGGCUCAGGAUGAACGCUGGCGGCGUGCCUAAUACAUGCAAGUCGAACGAAACUUCUUUAUCACCGAGUGCUUGCACUCACCGAUAAAGAGUUGAGUGGCGAACGGGUGAGUAACACGUGGGCAACCUGCCCAAAAGAGGGGGAUAACACUUGGAAACAGGUGCUAAUACCGCAUAACCAUAGUUACCGCAUGGUAACUAUGUAAAAGGUGGCUAUGCUACCGCUUUUGGAUGGACCCGCGUCUGAUUAGCCAGUUGGCAGGGUAACGGCCUACCAAAGCGACGAUCAGUAGCCGGCCUGAGAGGGCGGACGGCCACAUUGGGACUGAGACACGGCCCAAACUCCUACGGGAGGCAGCAGUGGGGGAUAUUGCACAAUGGGGGAAACCCUGAUGCAGCGACGCCGCGUGAGUGAAGAAGUAUUUCGGUAUGUAAAGCUCUAUCAGCAGGGAAGAAGAUGACAGUACCUGACCAAGAAGCCCCGGCUAACUACGUGCCAGCAGCCGCGGUAAUACGUAGGGGGCAAGCGUUAUCCGGAUUUACUGGGUGUAAAGGGAGCGUAGACGGCUUUGUAAGUCUGGAGUGAAAGCCCGGGGCCCAACCCCGGGACUGCUUUGGAAACUGUGAAGCUUGAGUACAGGAGGGGCAGGCGGAAUUCCUGGUGUAGCGGUGAAAUGCGUAGAUAUCAGGAGGAACACCGGCGGCGAAGGCGGCCUGCUGGACUGAAACUGACGUUGAGGCUCGAAAGCGUGGGGAGCAAACAGGA